CCUACGGGUGGCUGCAGUGAGGAAUAUUGGUCAAUGGGCGAAAGCCUGAUGCAGCAACGCCGCGUGAAGGAAGACGGUUUUCGGAUUGUAAACUUCUGUUCUUAGUGAAGAAUAAUGACGGUAACUAAGGAGCAAGCCACGGCUAACUACGUGCCAACAGCCGCGGUAAUACGUAGGUGGCAAGCGUUGUCCGGAAUUACUGGGUGUAAAGGGAGCGUAGGCGGGAAGCCAAGUCAGCUGUGAAAACUACGGGCUUAACCUGUAGACUGCAGUUGAAACUGGCUUUCUUGAGUGAAGUAGAGGUUGGCGGAAUUCCGAGUGUAGCGGUGAAAUGCGUAGAUAUUCGGAGGAACACCGGUGGCGAAGGCGGCCAACUGGGCUUUAACUGACGCUGAGGCUCGAAAGUGUGGGGAGCAAACAGGAUUAGAUACCCGGGUAGUC
rnacentral:rRNA from 1 species